GUGGUCGCGAGGCCAUAGGUUAUCGAUCCCAUGUUCGGUAGCAUACGAUUGUUUGGAUAUCAACCAGAAACGUCCUACAAGGCCGGACCAGCGGGCGAGCAACGACAUCAUUGCGAAGCCCAAUGCCUAUCGGUUGAUCAGGUAAAGGAUGAGCUUGUGCAGAGGAAACCAAUGCU
rfam:Pirellula sp. SH-Sr6A, complete genome.